ACAUCAUCAAAAGAAUAAGCAAAGAAAAGUAAAGAAGAAAAAAAUGGUCCCAAAAUUGUUGUUGUCAGCUUUCU
rnacentral:ribozyme from 1 species